UUUCCCUCAGGAUAGCUGGCACUCGCUCGAACGAGUCUCAUCUGGUAAAGCGAAUGAUUAGAGGCCUUGGGGCCGAAACGACCUCAACCUAUUCUCAAACUUUAAAUGGGUGAGAUCUCUGGCUUGCUUGAAUGUUGAAGCCACGAGAUAGCAUUUAAGAAUGGAUCAGAGUGCCAAGUGGGCCAAUUUUGGUAAGCAGAACUGGCGCUGUGGGA
rnacentral:rRNA from 1 species